rnacentral:rRNA from 1 species
AUUGAACGCUGGCGGCAGGCCUAACACAUGCAAGUCGAACGAGUGGCGGACGGGCGAGUAAUGUCUGGGAAACUGCCUGAUGGAGGGGGCUAACUACUGGAAACGGUAGCUAAUACCGCAUACGACCGGUUGUGCCCAGGGGGGAUUAGCUAGUAGGUGGGGUAACGGCUCACCAAGGCGACGAUGCCUAGCUGGUCUGAGAGGAUGACCGGCCACACUGGAACUGAGACACGGUCCAGACUCCUACGGGAGGCAGCAGUAGGGAAUAUUGCGCAAUGGGCGAAAGCCUGAUCGAGCCAUGCCGCGUGUAUGAAGAAGGCCUUCGGGUUGUAAAGUACUGUCAGCGGGGAAGCGUUACCCGCAGAGGAAGCACCGGCUAACUCCGUGCCAGCAGCCGCGGUAAUAC